GGUCUUGAGAUCCGGCGACAAGCCACGGCUUGCCGGACGGCAACCCCUCGCGAGAGCAGGGUGCCCCGUGUGACGACCUGGUUGUGUCAGGAAGGCAUGACAAGCGCGACAG
rfam:Cutibacterium granulosum DSM 20700 contig239, whole genome shotgun sequence.